rnacentral:tRNA from 1 species
GCCGCCCUAGCUCAGUUGGUAGAGCGACGCUCUCGUAAAGCGUAGGUCACGGGUUCGAGUCCCGUGGGCGGCU